rnacentral:rRNA from 1 species
UAAUACGUAGGGGGCGAGCGUUGUCCGGAUUCAUUGGGCGUAAAGCGCUUUAAGGCGGUUCGCUAAGUCGGGUGUGAAACCUCCAGGCUCAACCUGGAGACGCCACUCGAUACUGGCGUGACUAGAGUUCGGUAGGGGACCACGGAAUUCCUGGUGUAGCGGUGAAAUGCGCAGAUAUCAGGAGGAACACCAGUGGCGAAGGCGGUGGUCUGGGCCGAUACUGACGCUGUAGAGCGAAAGCGUGGGGAGCGAACAGGAUUAGAUACCCUGGUAGUCCACGCCGUAAACGUUGGGCACUAGGUGUGGGGGAUUAUCAACGUCCUCCGUGCCGUAGCUAACGCAUUAAGUGCCCCGCCUGGGGAGUACGGCCGCAAGGCUA